rnacentral:rRNA from 1 species
AGCCGCGGUAAUACGGAGGGUGCAAGCGUUAAUCGGAAUUACUGGGCGUAAAGCGCACGCAGGCGGUCUGUCAAGUCGGAUGUGAAAUCCCCGGGCUCAACCUGGGAACUGCAUUCGAAACUGGCAGGCUAGAGUCUUGUAGAGGGGGGUAGAAUUCCAGGUGUAGCGGUGAAAUGCGUAGAGAUCUGGAGGAAUACCGGUGGCGAAGGCGGCCCCCUGGACAAAGACUGACGCUCAGGUGCGAAAGCGUGGGGAGCAAAC